rnacentral:rRNA from 1 species
UACGUAGGUGGCAAGCGUUGUCCGGAUUUACUGGGCGUAAAGGGCGCGUAGGCGGCCAACUAAGUCGGACGUGAAAUCCCCGGGCUCAACCCGGGAACUGCGUCCGAUACUGGAUGGCUUGAAUCCGGGAGAGGGAUGUGGAAUUCCAGGUGUAGCGGUGAAAUGCGUAGAUAUCUGGAGGAACACCGGUGGCGAAAGCGCUCAUCUGGCCCAAUACUGACGCUGAGGCGCGAAAGCUAGGGGGGCAAACGGG